GCGGAAGUAGUUCAGUGGUAGAACAUCACCUUGCCAAGGUGGGGGUCGCGGAUUCGAACCCCGUCUUCCGCU
rnacentral:tRNA from 1 species